GCUAGUAAUCGUAGGUCAGCAUACUACGGUGAAUACGUUCCCGGGCCUUGUACACACCGCCCGUCAAACCAUGAGAGUUGGCAACACCCGAAGUCGGUAGUCUAACCGCAAGGAGGACGCCGCCGAAGGUGGGGUCGAUGAUUAGGGUUAAGUCGUAACAAGGUAAC
rnacentral:rRNA from 1 species